rnacentral:rRNA from 1 species
UGAGUGGCAAACGGGUGAGUAACACGUGGGAACUUGCCUUUUAGACUGGGACAACCACUGGAAACGGUGGCUAAUACCGGAUACGCCCUGAGGGGGAAAGCAGCAAUGCGCUAAGAGAGAGGCCCGCGGCAGAUUAGGUAGUUGGUGGGGUAAAGGCCUACCAAGCCUGUGAUCUGUAGCUGGUUUGAGAGGAUGAUCAGCCACACUGGGACUGAGACACGGCCCAGACUCC